GAUGAACGCUGGCGGCGUGCUUAACACAUGCAAGUCGAGCGAGAAAUUCUAAAACAAUUCUUCGGAUGCGUUUUAGAAUGGACAGCGGCGGACGGGUGAGUAACGCGUAGGCAACCUACCCUAUACAGAGGGAUAGCCUCGGGAAACCGGGAUUAAUACCUCAUAACACUUUAGCAUCGCAUGAUGCGAAAGUCAAAGAUUUAUCGGUAUGGGAUGGGCCUGCGUCUGAUUAGCUAGUUGGUAAGGUAACGGCUUACCAAGGCGACGAUCAGUAGCCGACCUGAGAGGGUGAUCGGCCACACUGGAACUGAGACACGGUCCAGACUCCUACGGGAGGCAGCAGUGGGGAAUAUUGCACAAUGGGCGCAAGCCUGAUGCAGCAACGCCGCGUGAGUGAUGAAGGCUUUUCGGGUCGUAAAAACUCUGUCCUAAGGGAAGAAUAAAAUGACGGUACCUUAGGAGGAAGCCCCGGCUAACUACGU
rnacentral:rRNA from 1 species